rnacentral:rRNA from 1 species
GACGAACCACACGAACGUUAUUCGGAAUUACUGGGCUUAAAGGGUGCGUAGGCGGCGCAGAAAGUUGGGUGUGAAAUCCCUCGGCUCAACCGAGGAACUGCGCCCAAAACUACUGUGCUUGAGGAAGAUAGAGGUAAGCGGAACUUACGGUGGAGCGGUGAAAUGCGCAGAUAUCAGGAGGAACACCAAUGGCGAAGGCAGCUCGCUGGGACGGUACUGACGCUGAGACGCGAAAGCGUGGGGAGCAAACAGG